UAUAAAGGUAGCCAUAAGUUUCUGUGUUCAACUUCCAUCGUACGUCUUAUUUAAUUUUUUUAUAAUUAGUAUUUUUGUUGUUAUUAUAUGAUAAAACAUGAAUAGUAAUUUAUGCAUGAAUUAUGUUUUUUAUUUUUUCUAAAAAAGUUUCAAUUAAGAUGAUGAUUAAAUUUGGACACGGAAACUUACAGUUGGCUUAAAA
rfam:Oryza punctata chromosome 11, whole genome shotgun sequence.